GGGGGGGAUUUGUUUAACAGUUUUCUAAGAAAAACGUUGAGCAAAAAUUAACUCCUUCUAGGCGCCCGUUGCUGGCCGAGCCCAGAGGCCCGCAGCCCUGGAAGCAGGUGGGUCCAGGUAAAACCUUUCUCUUAUAGCUACACGGUUCUCAAAGAACCAGGACAUCUUCAGCUGUCAUCUUGCCCUUGAGUGUCACAGCAUCACAGGACCAUUGAGGCUUCAACUUGUGACCAGAGGCAAAAUGGAGUUGUUUCUGUAUGCCAUAGCCGGCUCUCAGGUCUGUAUCAAGGAUCUGCACUAGGAAGGCUCAAAGGCCAGUGGUGGAAGCCAGAAAGUCUGCACCAGGGGGUAAAGGAUCUGCGCCACAAGGCUGAGGGAUCUGCACCGGAGCCAGGAAGUAACGCUCGAGGCAAAGACCAGAGCUCCCCAGAAAGCAGCCAUCACCAGUGACAGCGAGGAUCUGAGCUCCUCUGACGUUGAGAACUGUGGACUUUACAUCAGGAAAACCAGCCUCAACAAGCUUCUCCAGGAAAAUCAACAGCAUGCACUCUUCCCCUCCAGUUCUCCUUUUAUGCCACUCUGACAACAAUCCUCAGGUGGGUCUUCCAUGCCCAGAAGCACACUGACUCAGUUCAGCUGGGCAUUCCCACUCAAGCUGACCAUUGGUUAAUCCACCACAGGCAGAGUGCUUGAUCCCUUUCUCCUUUCCCUCAACAUCACAGAGAAAGUCAUUCCAUGUCAGCUCAUCUUGAUGAUCCACAGGUUCUUCAUUUUAUCCAUCUGAGCCAUCAUUUGCUUUAAAUUCCCAUUUGUCCCACCUACUGUGAACAAGGAAAGAAUCUAUUUACUUUCUUUGUAAAAAUACUCUAUACGCUUUAAAACAAGAACAGAAACAAUUUUUAGUCUCAUCUCCUCCAAAUAAGACAAGACACUACUCAGAACAUUGCAGGUCUUGUUGCCGAAUUUAGCUGAUGAAAAUAUAGUACUCUUGGUGAAAUUUGAAUUUUGGCUAAACAAUGCAUUUCUAAUAUAAAUUUGUUGCAAAUAUUCCAUGCGCGAAUAUUGCAUGGGAUAUGUGUACAUUAAAAAUUAUUGAUCAUUCAAUUAAAAUUCAGAUUGAGUAUUCUGUAUGGCUGCCCUGUGCUGGGUAGGAG
ensembl:lncRNA